AGAAGUAAUAUUCCGCAACGUAUCCUCAGCGGGCUUUGUUGCGGAUAGUUUCUUAUCAGAGUACUAGGAGUGAAUAGUGGCCCGUAUAGCAGGCAUUAACAUUCCUGAU
rfam:Vibrio aerogenes CECT 7868 genome assembly, contig: 0012